CGAGAACAAAGAAAACAGCAGAUAAUUAAUACUUUGAUUGUAUAACCAUUAGAUCUUGAAGUUUCAAAUAACACACAAAAAAUAAGUUAUCAAGGAUCAUUUAUCAACAUAACACUUAUAUAAAAAUUUACAUAAAAUUAUAAUUAGAUUUCUGCAAAGGCUCUUAUUAACCAGAAUAACUUAAUCUGGUUAACCAACAAAUCUUUUAGCGUUGAAACACUAGAUGGCGUUAGUUCUCAAUAAAGUGCUUGUUUUUAAGGCAACUGUUUAUUUUGAAUUUUAGUUUCUAACAAUUGUAAGUCAAUCAAAUUAGAUUCAAAUCAACAAAUUUUUAUUUUAUUUGUGUUUUAAGUAAAAUUUGAACAUUCAAUUUCAUGAAACAGUUAAUCAUGGAUGAGUCUACUUAUCUAUUCUUUCCCAAAAUAUGAAAGUCAACAGAUUAAAUUUGAAUAGAGAAUUGAUUUUGUUUUCGUUGAACUACACUGAACUACCUGGUUAAAGCAACCUUUUCUGCUCAGAUCUGUUUUGUCAUUCUGAGCACGAUUCAUCAUCAGACUAACCACCAUUAUUCCUAGUGAACACUGAAGUGUAACUGUAUUUUCCGUUGGAAUAUCGGUAAUUCCGCUCCUGUAAUCAGGUAUAAGAUAAAUAAACAUGUUUAUUAUCUGUUGAGCUACAUCUGUUAAAUUGGUGCAAUAAAUUGUUAAAGAUUACAGGUUGAAUAACAUUUACCCUUUCAGAGACAUUAGCUUAGUCAAUUGACUAUAAUUAAGGGAGAAAACAGUUUACCUCAAGUAUCUGUACGUAUCUGUUAAUAGAUCCAAAGAUUAAGUAUUGACAUCAGAUAUCCAGUAUCGAUGUUAAAUUGUGCGUCAUUAGGUUAAAAUUAUUUAAAAUGUGAUUUUCUUGCCGUUAGUAAAUUUGAAAUUUAAUCGUUAUUUUAAUUAUUUUUGGGCUAAAUUUGCAUCAAGAUCAUGCUUUUACAUCUUAACCGUUUUUCGCCAUCAAUGUGUUGGAUGCCAUUUUAGCCCAUGCUUUAUCUUGAUUUCAAUCUUUUCCAAUCUUCCUCAAACUGAUGGAUAGAAGAAAUUGAAUAAAGCCAAAACCCCAUCAGCCUAUGGAAGUAACAAGUAAAAAAAGUCUGAGAAAAGGCUUAAUCUGACAAAAACUCAUGCAGAGAAAUGAAAAAGAAAACAAUGAAAAGAUGAAGAUAAAGAUUGUUUACCGUAGAUCACAUCUUUGCAUUGAUCAACUACAUCUUGAUCAUUAUUGUAGCUGUACAUGAUUUUAUUUAUUCAUUCAAAUGAUUAACCUGUUAAUGCAAAUGGAAAAAGCAACAAGAAAUUAAUGAGUGAAUGGAUUAACAUUUUAAUGGUCCAUCAAUCAUUUGAUUAAUUACCUUGGAUUGUGUUAAAUUACCUAUUUUACGCUAGAGUAAAAUUUAUUUGUACUAAGUUGGAAUUCAAUGUAAAUUGUCAUUCUAUUAUCAAAUUCCGGAUAAGCACCGUCAUCAGCGUGGGAUAAUUACGAUUUGGGAACCUUACAAUUCGUGAUAAAAACCAUUCAGUAAUCUAAUCAGUCUAAUUCAGCCAUCGGAGUAUCUAUUUUGGUUUAAUGUUGCUGUGUUUUUGGUUUUGUACUUACAUCUUUUGAUAUUUAACAACUGGAUCGUUAAGAGCAUCUUGAAAGUCGAGAGUUGUAACCUUGGUUCUAUACUCGGGUCUGGGCUUCAAGAAACGCCAACCAAGUUGGGCAAAACAAAAGCCUCGGUGCACAUUUUGUGGAUCAGCAUGGGUAUCAAUGAAAACAUGAUGGGCUCGAUGGUGUUUUACAUAAUAAUAAAUGGUACUCUUAGGAAGGAAAACAAUUUUAAUCAGUUUCAGCAAUAUUCAUCAUUCAACAUCAGCAAUAUCUUUCAUUUACUCACCUCAGCUACUGAAGUAAACAUUAAAGCCAAGAGUAUUCUCAUGAAAAGCUUUGCCUUGUAAGCAUGAUGACUCCAUAAACGAUGACAACCAGCUGAUAAACCAAUACUACCAAAGAUUGCCAAUGAGAAACCUGGGAAUGGUAAAGAAUCAAUUGAGAGUUAGAAUCACUUGAUGCCAAUUAGUAAAUAAAUGAGAGUUUGGAGAUAAUCAAAUUUCGAUUGUUGGUAAUAUGGACUGAUGUUAUUAUGCAUCAAAAGAAAAUCAUGGUUCUUGGUUUGAUCUGAAUCUUAUGCUAUCACUAUUAUUCAGUUGGAAUUUUGGUUAAUUUUUAUGGUCAAAUUGCUUUGGUUUCGUGUCUUUAUUGUCGUGUGAAAAUAUCUAAUGGUCAGAAUGCUUAACCAGUAAAUCCAACAGUUGUAUUGGAGCAAUUAUUUGUCAUUAACAAGGAUGAGAUGGCCAUGUUUACAUGGAGUUAAUAAAAAGACCAAUCCUUUGAUCAAGUAUCAACUGCUGAUUCAGUGCUUAAGUUGAGUGAAUUAAGGAUAAUUUUAACAAUUUGUCGAAUCAAUAAUAAAAAUAAUUCCUGAUUUCUGUUAUCCAGUCCAUUCAAUGUUUAUCACUCACCCUUUAUCACUGUACCUAGGAAUUGAGAUUUUUGUAUCUCGAUAUAAAUAAUUUAAAUACACAGUCCAUAAAAAGGCAAUCAAAUCAAUUUUGAAUCAGCGAUUUUCUCAUAACCUUUAAUCAUCUGUUAAUUCCUUGUUAAACUAUUUUCAGUUCAAUUAUUCACCAGUAAAAGUUAAAUCUUCUGUUGGUACAUGUAUCUCAUCGUCUUCCUGAGUCGCUAUGGAUUUAACCUGAAAUUUGCCCGUUAUGUUGGACGAUCGAUUGCAAAGAACUGUAAAUUACAGUAUAUUUUAAAGUGAACAUUAAAUUCUUAAAAGCUUCAGUUGGAAGUGAAACCGAGAUGACUGUCUUUCGUUUAUAAGGACUUCAAAGAUUGAACCCUUUGCUGCGUAUCUAAAAAUGCCUAAAAGUAAACAAAUUUAAUUUCAUCAGAAUCUGGAUCAUGAAAACAUAUUCCACUAGAGAGUUAUCUCAUCCAAUGGUAAAAGUGUCUCAAGUUUCAUUCAAAUUGGAUUCCAAGAAAACUACAAUUUUUGUUACAAAAUUUGGGUUUACUUUUGCUUUUGUCCAGCUCACCAACAAUGUCAAUAGGGACAAAAACAAGUCUCUAAUUGCAGUUAUUACAAAUCUUUUGGAUCACCAAUUUGGUUCCUAAUGUUACAAACAAACUCUUGAAAUUGAUUUUUUUUUCUCAUUUCACAUUUCCUACUGUUGCAUACAUUCAUGUGCCUGUCAUCAUGAGUAUAGUGAAAAAAUAUUUCAUCUUUUGAGAUUCAACCAAGAUCACAAUCAUUUAUCAAACUCAACAACAAAUCAUUUGUCUGAACAGCCAACAAUGGAUAUCAACAUGAAACUUUUUCAGUUCAAAGCAAAAGAAGCUAAAGAAGAAACUUCUAUAAAUGAAACAAAAUUUCAACAAUUAACUUUCCAAUUUUCAAUCAACCUGAGAAUAAUUAAUCACCUGAAUGAUCAACUUUUAAUAAACAAGCAAAUGGUUGAUUACAUUGGAAGAAAUUUGGAACAAUAUUAAUUUGCAAACGGAAUCAUCAUGGAAUCAUCAUCAUUAUCAGAUUAACAAGAGGAACAAAGUCUCGUAAAAUAUUUGCUUGAACAAUUUCAAAGUUAUGGGAAUUACCUUUGGAGGAAAACCAAUUUAAUAAGAGGAUGAGAAAAGGUUAAAUUUAUUAAUGAUGGAAAUCAAUUUAAUACAAUUUAACUUUUCAAAUUAAUUGCUCCACUGAUUAGUGUUAAUGAUAAGUAAACUUGUGCCAAAAAAUUACCCUUAACGACUGCCGUGAGAUGUAAAAAUGAUCAAAGUGUAUUUACAUGGUAAAAUUAACAAUAAUAUUAUUAUAACAAUCAUUUGAGAUGGAAAAUUUUUAUCUCAUUUGAAACGUAAUAAGAGUCAGGUAAAACACCUGAAAAUGUUUGUUUCAAAAGAGACCAGAAAAGAGAAGGUAAAAGAGUUUUAUCGUUGAAACAAAACAAAAAAGAUCCCAAAGGAGUAAUAAGGAGUCACUGGAAGGAAGAAAAAACGAUGAGGAAGACGAGGAUGAUAAGGAUGAAGGUGAAUAGCUAGGUAAGAAGCAUAUUAACAAGGCAAAGGAGUAAAAAUGUGAGAUGAAAAGCCUUCAGACACAAUAAUCAUCGACAUCGACAUCACAAACAGUCAAGUCUUUCGUUAUCUUUCCAACUUAACAUUGAUUAAGAUACAAUUUAACGAUUAACUCUUCUUGUCACAUUUGACUUUCACUUUGAAUGGAUAAUAUUUAAUCAACUAAUCAGAUUAGAAGGAAAAGGUUUAAUCUUAUCUUUAUGCAAUUAAAAGUGUCACUGACUGGAAGCCGAGGAAAGGCUUCAAGUGAUGGGCAAAGGUUGAACCUUUAGGUUGAGGUUGUUGGUUGCUGGCUAGUCAGACUUUGAUUUUAUGUUUAAUGUUAUCC